ACGGGUGAGUAACGCGUGGGAAUCUACCGUACCCUACGGAAUAGCUCUGGGAAACUGGAAGUAAUACCGUAUACGCCCUAACGGGGAAAGAUUUAUCGGGGUAUGAUGAGCCCGCGUUGGAUUAGCUAGUUGGUGGGGUAAAGGCCUACCAAGGCGACGAUCCAUAGCUGGUCUGAGAGGAUGAUCAGCCACAUUGGGACUGAGACACGGCCCAAACUCCUACGGGAGGCAGCAGUGGGGAAUAUUGGACAAUGGGGGCAACCCUGAUCCAGCCAUGCCGCGUGAGUGAUGAAGGUCUUAGGAUUGUAAAGCUCUUUCAACGGUGAAGAUAAUGACGGUAACCGUAGAAGAAGCCCUGGCUAACUUCGUGCCAGCAGCCGCGGUAAUACGAAGGGGGCUAGCGUUGUUCGGAAUUACUGGGCGUAAAGCGCACGUAGGCGGGUAUUUAAGUCAGGGGUGAAAUCCCGCAGCUCAACUGCGGAACUGCCUUUGAUACUGGGUAUCUUGAGUAUGGAAGAGGUAAGUGGAAUUGCGAGUGUAGAGGUGAAAUUCGUAGA
rnacentral:rRNA from 1 species